AACAUAUUACAUGUUCUAUUACAUAAAGAAAAGCACCACAAACCAAAUUCUAAAAAAAAACAAGAGCUCUUGCUUUUUGUCCUCACAAUUUUUCCAUGAUGAAAGGUGUUGCAAUUCAGCAAGUCUUGGUGUUGGACUCAACAUUUGUCUCCAAAAUUUUCUCAAUCUAGCCAUGACUGCUAUGUUCUAUCUUUUCUUGGACCAAGGGGAAGCUGAAGCUCUUUGAGUUAAGAUUCUCAUUUGAUAUUAUUGAACCUCAAAAGUUUUACUACAGUAAAAACCAGAGUCCUGCAGUAAAAAGAAAAGGACAAGAUGACCUAUAGCACAAUUAGUUUCACCAAACAAUAAAGAAAGCAAUAAACACAUUAUGCAGCAUAAUACAAACAACUCUGCAAUUACCACAACAAGAGUAACAAUACAACAUCAAUAUCAAUUUCACCAAUUCUGCAGUAAACACAUACAAAAAAAAGACAUUCGUGAAAUACCAUAACCAAUUCUGCUUCAUUCUCAAUUCACUCUGCUCCACUCCCAAUUCCAUCAAUACACAACUUAUCACUAAGUAUGUGUCCUUUAACCUAAUCCUAAUAAACCCUUCAUAAUCACUAUUAUAAAAAGAGUUUUUUCAUAACAACAAAGAGGGAUAUUGAAAAAAAACCUAGCCGCACCAUAAUAAACUACACUGGAAAAAAACAUACUGCAAAAAUAAAAAAGUAUACACUGAUAGAUCAAGAACUUAACAUAUUCGAGCAACAAUAACCAAUCAACAACGUAAUCAAAGGAAGAAGGGAUAGAUAAUAAUAUUUAUAGAAGAGGAAGAACGCUAGAAAAAGUUGAAGCAUACCUAACACGUAUUGUGGCUAUUUCCUGCGCAACACAAGGUGGUUAUUUCAUUGCCUUUAAGCUACUCUGUUGAUUACUUCAUUUUUUUGCUUUGAAUGUUGUGAUAUAUCAUGUAACCGAAAUCAAAAUAGUGAAAUAUGCAUGAGGUAUGGGAUUGUGAGGAUAAAGGGAUCUGUUUGUGUUUUGUGUUCGUUCGAUUCACGUUUCCUUAUUGAUGUUUGAACGUUUUUGCUUCUGAUGCUUUCAUCCAUUAUUUU
rnacentral:lncRNA from 1 species